rnacentral:rRNA from 1 species
CUGGCGGCAUGGCUAAAACAUGCAAGUCGAACGCGAACGGGGGCAACCCCUAGUAGAGUGGCGAAAGGGCGAGGAAUAAAUUCCUACGUGCCCUGAGGUCGGGGACACCUCGGAGAAAUCCGAAUCAAUACCCGAUGUGGUCCGAAAGGAUCAAAGGUUUACUGCCUCAGGAGCGGGGAAUUUCCUAUCAGGUAGUUGGUAGGGUAACGGCCUACCAAGCCUUAGACGGGUAGCGGGUGUGAGAGCACGGCCCGCCGCAUCGAGACUGAGACACUGCUCGGACUCCUACGGGAGGCUGCAGUAACGAAUCUUCCGCAAUGCGCGAAAGCGUGACGGGGCAAUGCCGCGUGCAGGAUGAAGCCCUUCGGGGUGUAAACUGCUGUCAGGGUGCAGGAACUCAAUGACCAUACCCAAAGGAAGCACCGGCUAACUCUGUGCCAGCAGCCGCGGUAAUACAGAGGGUGCGAGCGUUAAUCGGAAUCACUGGGCUUAAAGCGUUCGUAGGCGGAUCUGUAGGCGCGUUGUGAAAGCCCUCGGCUCAACCGGGGAACUGCUUCGCGAACCACAGAUCUUGAGUCAAGUAGGGGCGAUCGGAACGAUAGGUGGAGCGGUGAAAUGCGUAGAUAUCUAUCGGAACGCCGAAGGUGAAGACAGGUCGCUGGGCUUGUACUGACGCUGAGGAACGAAAGCGUGGGGAGCAAACGGGAUUAGAUACCCCGGUAGUCCACGCCGUAAACGAUGCGCACUAGGUCGGGGAGGUUUGACGCCCUCCUGGCCGCAGCAAAAGUGUUUAGUGCGCCGCCUGGGGAGUACGGUCGCAAGGCUAAAACUCAAAGGAAUUGACGGGGGCUCACACAAGCGGUGGAGCAUGUGGCUUAAUUCGACGCGAAGAACCUUAUCCUAGGCUUGACAUGCACGUAUCAACUUCCUGAAAGGGAAGCCACUCCCGCAAGGGCGGAACGUGCACAGGUGCUGCAUGGCUGUCGUCAGCUCGUGCUGUGAAGUGUCGGGUUAAGUCCCUCAACGAGCGAAACCCCUGUCGUUAGUUGCUAACGCGUAAUGGCGAGGACUCUAGCGAGACUGCCGGUGUCAAACCGGAGGAAGGUGGGGAUGACGUCAAGUCCUCAUGGCCCUUAUGCCUAGGGCUGCACACGUGCUACAAUGGCGGAUACAGAACGAUGCAAGACCGCAAGGUGGAGCAAAUCGCAUAAAGUCCGCCCCAGUUCGGAUUGGAGGCUGCAACCCGCCUCCAUGAAGUCGGAAUCGCUAGUAAUCGCGGAUCAGCUACGCCGCGGUGAAUAUGUUCCUGAGCCUUGUACACACCGCCCGUCAACUCAUGGGAGCUGGCAGUGCCCGAAGUCGCCUCAUUUCAGGGGUGCCCACGGCAAGGCUGGUGACUGGGACUAAGUCGUAACAAGGUA